rnacentral:tRNA from 1 species
UUCUGGCUAGCUCAGCUGGUACAGCAUGAGACUCUUAAUCUCAGGGUCAUGGGUUUGANUCCCACAUUGGAUG